rnacentral:rRNA from 1 species
CCUACGGGAGGCAGCAGUGGGGAAUAUUGGUCAAUGGGCGCAAGCCUGACCCAGCCACGCCGCGUGAAGGAAGACGGCUCUCUGGUUGUAAACUUCUUUUGAUAGGGAAGCGUAGCCGACUGUACCUGUCGAAUAAGCCACGGCUAACUACGGGCCAGCAGCCGCAGUAAUACGUAGGUGGCAAGCGUUGUCCGGAUUUACUGGGUGUAAAGGGCGUGUAGCCGGGUUGACAAGUCAGAUGUGAAAUCCUGCGGCUUAACAUCAGAACUGCGUUUGAAACUGUUGAUCUUGAGUACUGGAGAGGCAGACGGAAUGCGUGGUGUAGCGGUGAAAUGCGUAGAUAUUA